rnacentral:rRNA from 1 species
AGAGUUUGAUCCUGGCUCAGAUUGAACGCUGGCGGCAUGCUUUACACAUGCAAGUCGAACGGCAGCACGGGUGCUUGCACCUGGUGGCGAGUGGCGAACGGGUGAGUAAUGCACCGGAACGUACCCAGUAAUGUGGGAUAACACAUCGAAAGAUGUGCUAAUACCGCAUACGCCCUGAGGGGGAAAGCGGGGGAUCGUAAGACCUCGCGUUAUUGGAGCGGCCGAUGCCGGAUUAGCUAGUUGGUGAGGUAAGAGCUCACCAAGGCGACGAUCCGUAGCUGGUCUGAGAGGACGACCAGCCACACUGGGACUGAGACACGGCCCAGACUCCUACGGGAGGCAGCAGUGGGGAAUUUUGGACAAUGGGCGCAAGCCUGAUCCAGCCAUGCCGCGUGAGUGAAGAAGGCCUUCGGG